CCAAUAGCGUAUAUUAAAGUUGUUGCAGUUAAAAAGCUCGUAGUUGAAUUUCGGGAUCAAUUAAUUGGUCGUGCCUAUGGUACGUACUGAUUUUAUUGGUUUCUCCCUUCUGACGAACCAUGAUGUCAUUAAUUUGGUGUCGUGGAGAAUCAGGACGGUUACUUUGAAAAAAUUCGAGUGUUUAAAGCAAGCUAACGCUUGAAUACAUUAGCAUGGAAUUAUGAAAUAGGACGUUUGCUCCUAUUUUGUUGGUUUCUAGGAUCGACGUAAUGAUUAAUAGGGAUAGUUGGGGGCAUUAGUAUUCAAUUGUCAGAGGUGAAAUUCUUGGAUUUAUUGAAGACUAACUACUGCGAAAGCAUUUGCCAAGGAUGUUUUCAUUAAUCAAGAACGAAAGUUAGGGGAUCGAAGACGAUCAGAUACCGUCGUAAUCUUAACCAUAAACUAUGCCGACUAGGGAUCGGAUGAUGUUAAUUUUUUAAUGACUCAUUCGGCGCCUUACG
rnacentral:rRNA from 1 species